CGUAGGGUGCAAGCGUUAAUCGGAAUUACUGGGCGUAAAGCGUGCGCAGGCGGUGAUGUAAGACAGAUGUGAAAUCCCCGGGCUCAACCUGGGAACUGCAUUUGUGACUGCAUCGCUGGAGUACGGCAGAGGGGGAUGGAAUUCCGCGUGUAGCAGUGAAAUGCGUAGAUAUGCGGAGGAACACCGAUGGCGAAGGCAAUCCCCUGGGCCUGUACUGACGCUCAUGCACGGAAGCGUGGGGAGCAAACAGGAUUAGAUACCCUGGUAGUCCACGCCCUAAACGAUGUCAACUGGUUGUUGGGUCUUCACUGACUCAGUAACGAAGCUAACGCGUGAAGUUGACCGCCUGGGGAGUACGGCCGCAAGGUUG
rnacentral:rRNA from 1 species